rnacentral:rRNA from 1 species
AUUGAACGCUGGCGGCAUGCCUUACACAUGCAAGUCGAACGGUAACGGGCCUUCGGGUGCCGACGAGUGGCGAACGGGUGAGUAAUGCAUCGGAACGUACCUUUCAGUGGGGGAUAACGUAGCGAAAGUUACGCUAAUACCGCAUAUUCUGUGAGCAGGAAAGCAGGGGAUCGCAAGACCUUGCGCUGAUUGAGCGGCCGAUGUCAGAUUAGCUGGUUGGUGAGGUAAAGGCUCACCAAGGCGACGAUCUGUAGCGGGUCUGAGAGGCUGAUCCGCCACACGGGAACUGAGAGACGGUCCAGACUCCUACGGGAGGCAGCAGUGGGGAAUUUUGGACAAUGGGGGCAACCCUGAUCCAGCCAUGCCGCGUGAGUGAAGAAGGCCUUCGGGUUGUAAAGCUCUUUCGUCCGGGAAGAAAUCGUAUGGGCUAAUACCCUGUGCGGAUGACGGUACCGGCAUAAGAAGCACCGGCUAACUACGUGCCAGCCGCCGCCGUAACAC